rnacentral:rRNA from 1 species
GACGAACCGUGCGAACGUUGUUCGGAAUCACUGGGCUUAAAGGGCGCGUAGGCGGGUGACCAAGUCCGGGGUGAAAUCCUCCAGCUUAACUGGAGAAGUGCCUCGGAUACUGGUUGUCUUGAGGAGGGUAGGGGCAUCUGGAACUAGCGGUGGAGCGGUGAAAUGCGUUGAUAUCGCUAGGAACUCCGGGUGGCGAAGGCGAGGUGCUGGACCCUUUCUGACGCUGAGGCGCG